GAGGGGAAAGGGGUGAUAAUAAUGAUUGUUUUUCCUUUGCUCCGUUUUCUUUUUCCUCUUCUUCUUCUUCUUCCUCCUC
rnacentral:ribozyme from 1 species